GACGAACGCUGGCGGCGUGCUUAACACAUGCAAGUCGAACGGAAAGGCCUCUUUCGGUGGUUACUCGAGUGGCGAACGGGUGAGUAACACGUGAGUAACCUCCCCUUGACUUUGGGAUACCUUCAGAAAACUGGGGCUAUUACCGGUUAGGCGCUCCUGCUGCAUGGGGGGGGUUUGAAAGUUUCGGCUGUUGGGUAAGGGCUCGCGGGUUAUCGGCUUGUUUGUGGGGUAGUGGCUUACCAAGGCUUUUACGGGUAUCCGGCCUGAGAGGGUGACAUACAACCUUGAGACUUAGAGAAGGCACAGGCGGCUACGGGAGGAAGCAGUGGGGAAUAUUGCACAAUGGGUGGAGGCCUGAUGCAGAAGGGCUGUGUGCGGGAUGACGGCCUUCGGGUUGAAAAACGCUAUCGCUCAUGAAGAAGCUUUGUGUGACGUUAGUGGGUAAAGAAGCACCGGCUAACUACGUG
rnacentral:rRNA from 1 species